UUGUCAUUUUUUUCUAACAGGUACCAGUACUUGCUCGUCGCCAGUCAAGGAUCUUCAAAUGUGACCGCCUUUGCAAAUGUUUUUCCAAUUUUAAGUGGUUAGUAUUUAUUGCUAUACUGCUUGGCCAGCUUAUUGGAUUGACGUUGUUCACCAUCUGGGCUGUUGAUUGUUCUUCCGUGAAUUUCGCACGACUGCAAAUUGCGAACAUUUUCAUCUUUAUCUAUAUCCGAAGAUGUUGGAAGUGUUCUGGUUAUUUAACAGCUGUCUUGGUUCUCUUUUCCUCAUUUAUCACGUCGUGCUCCUUACGCCAACAUUUUAUGGGACACGAAGAAUCAUUCGUCAUUUGAUUUGGAAAAAGUAUUUUUAUAAGAUCAGUUUCGUGCUCUUGCUCGUUGUUGUGUAUGAUAUAUACGUAAUAUCAAAUGGUCC